ACGCUCGACACCUACGGUAGGCAGCAGUGGGGAAUAUUGCACAAUGGGGGAAACCCUGAUGCAGCGACGCCGCGUGAAGGAAGAAGUAUUUCGGUAUGUAAACUUCUAUCAGCAGGGAAGAAGAAAGUGACGGUACCUGACUAAGAAGCCCCGGCUAACUACGUGCCAGCAGCCGNGGUAAUCUGAGCGGGCUGGCAAGGC
rnacentral:rRNA from 1 species